GUCCGGAUCCUCCGCCGACUCCGGAGUCCCGGAAGGAAGUAGAAGAGGCUACUGAGGCGGAUGUGGACAGGCAGCGCCGCGGCGGAAGUGAGAAGCACUCCCGGGUCAGCGCGGCGGGCGUGAGACGGGGGUGUCUGUGCAGUUCUCCUGCAGUGUACGCCGCCGCCCCCGGGUGUGUGCAGCAUAGGAGGGCGCAAGGCUGCACGGUAACUGAAGAUAGCUUUGACAAAAGAGGAGAGAAUUGAGGUCUACUCUACAAUAUCAGGAAUUAAAGCAUACAGUGAAAAGAUAUCCUUAUUAUGGAGAAGAGAGCUACAUUCUUAUGUACAGUACACAGCACAAUUUUGGCCAUAAUCUGGGGCACCUUCGCAGUGGAGCUGGAAUCCACCAACUAAGGAGCAGACUGCAGCAGGCUUACUGUCGAGUUGGUGGAGGAUGCCAUAAAUGGGUAUUUACAGAAAGGCAAUGUGUAACUUCCCACGGAUAAAUU